rnacentral:misc_RNA from 1 species
AAGUCCACCAGAUUCUCUCUCACAGCUAAAUACAGGGAGGGGCAGUUGCCGGUAAAUAGACGAUGUUAAAUCACGAGAUGGUGGUGAAAUUAGCACGAGAAGUUGGUAUUUUAGUGGCAGGAACAAGUCACACACAGGAUUUUUAAUCCGCCAUUGAAGCUGGGCGGUGAUGUAGUUGUUUUGUCCGUUCGUCUAGGCGCGUCGUUUCUGGAGUCAGAUUACUCUUUGGCUUAAU